GGAAGUUAAGAAACUGUUUCUUAACUUUUAACUAAAAAAGCUAAAAAUCGGUUCUUAAAUAAGGACUUUAAGAACUGGUACUUAGCUUUUUUAGUUAAAAGUUAAGAAACGGUUUUUAACUUAC
rfam:Brassica oleracea var. oleracea cultivar TO1000 chromosome C7, whole genome shotgun sequence